GUAAACACACAUCUGUUUGCAGGUUUAUUCAAGUGUGGGUCAAGAUGAAAUGGCGAGGGAGUCACCUUAAUAAUAAGAUGAUGAAAGGAACAGUGUGAAAUACAUUUAUUUCCAGAAUGUAUGAAUGUGGGAAGAAAAUACUAAUUCCUCACCAAAGCCCUGCAAUCAUUGCAUGCUGAAAAUGAAGACAUUUACACCCACUGUAUUAAUGCUGCAAGGGACUUUUUUAUGUGUCAUUAUGACAGGUGGUGGAGGGAGCGAGCCGCAUUCCAGUGAGUGAGCCUGUCCCUGGCUAUAGUACUGGUGUUAGCCCUCUCACUGGUCAAAGCUGAAGGAGUUAAGGGGCAGAGGGAUUAGGAGAGAGACCCGGCUGGGGAAGAUGAACAGGUUUGUAAACACAAAUGAAACCAGUUUAGGUUACAUUUUUUAAGUAAACAAAGGGAUUUUACUCUACUGAAACAUUACUGUUUACAACUUCAGAACGAGGUACACGUAAUUUUCACCUGCGAGCUGAUAUAUAUGUAUUAAUUAGGUAUCUGUCUAAAAAGUGUUAGGAGAGGCAAUAAUUUUGAAAUCAAACGGAAACAGAAAGAAACUAGAAGACCAAAGAAGAAUUAAUCUUAAUCAAAGAGGGAUAGUCAAUUGUGGACAAAAGAUGGACUUUGAGAAAGUCCCCAAAAGAAAGCUUAGCCAAGUCAAAAUCAGAAUGCAAGGUGAUCCACAGGGCCAAGUGCUUUGAAUCUUUAAACUCAAUAACCUGUGUUGUCAAGGAAGUGGAUACCAGUAUUACAAGGCCCUUCCUUGGACGUCCUUUCUCAUACAGUUUAGUGGCCUUAAUUUCAUGGGCAAAGUAACCCUCCAGGACUAUAUUGAAAGUUGUCCAGGUUUCUUGCAACAUUAUCACAUCGAAACGCGUUAUAUACUCUUGAAAUGACUCAUCCCCUACUUUGUUGGCACAACCUGCUAUGUUCCAUAAAACAAUAUUUAGGCUACUCUCGUCCCCGGCGAUUUGGCUUCAUUGUGGAGGGCAGAUUGUAGUCAGCUCUCCCUCUGUCUCAGUUAUAACACAACCAUUCUUGAGGUGUUUGAAGUGUUGUUCUUUUUGGGGUUGUUUGACAGACUUGUCCAGAUUGCCAGCCAUCAGCAGUAGUGUUCAAUUGUUUGUGGCUUUCGGGGGAUCGGAGUCUGGCAGUCUUGGUGUAAUGCUUUCCUCGGGUGGGGCAACGCCUGGCAAUGGAUGAUCUGUUUUCUGUGAAAAUGGUGAGUGGUGGAUUUCGAGAUCUACCAAAGUCCUGGUGGAAGAACUGAUUUUUGGCACAGGGGAGUUGGGCAAGCAUUAUUUGUGUGCUUGGCCAUUAAACUCAGAAGGUUUUCUGUCCUGGGGGAUGUUUCGGCCAAAUUCUCCACCCAGAACCUGCCUUAGUGGCACUGGGGUUUGUGCCUUAAACCUUUGGCAAAUGCCCGCUGAUGAUGAGGGCUUGGAUUGAUUGGAGUCAGUCCGACUGCACAGAAGAUUCGGCAGUAAAGGCUUUAAUUGUGUGUCUUCAGAAACAUGCCUCAAGAUAAUUUUAUAAUCCUAUAGGCAGGUCUUGUAUUUCAGAAGUAGUUUUGGAAUAACUGAAUCAGAGAACGAUAAUAAUAGUCUAGAAUGCUGAGAGUCCGAUGAAAGCAGGUUUACCGUGGUAAGAUUGUCACGCUGGAUGUUUAGCAACAGUUUGAAAUUUCGCUUUGCACUUGCGAUUGAAUUCCAGAAAGGGAGCAGACCAUUAAAAGGGUAACCAUCGAGAACUACUUGAGAGCUUUGCAGGAUUAGUUUGCUGUUUUCAUGUUUGUUAUUCUUUCUGUAAGAGGUUUUACGGGUUCUGGCACAAGAACAGCUACACCCCUGAGUUUGAAGAUCUUGUUAAGAGCUGUGCCAGACUCUUGGGUGGCAAUAGGACUGUUCCGGGUUGCCAACAGCGCCAACUCAGCCAGGAGGGACACUACCUUUUCUAAUUUGAGGUUAAUUUCCUCUACCAUUCUUGCUGUUAACAAACAGUGGUCCGCAAAUACAGUACUUCAGCAUAAGGUGGUACACCCUCAGCUGGUUUUUUGUUUGUUUUUUUAAAUCUCAUUUUCUGUAAGAUUGGUGGAAGGUGACUAGGGACAAACUAGUGAUUCUAGAUGUCUCUGUUCUGCCCCUCUAGAUUAAUGGCUCAUCCAGCUUCAAAUAAAAUGGCGGACAAAAUGGUAUUCCAUGACUGAAGGACAUUUAGGUGAGUAUCCCUUGGUUGGCUAAGGAGAAAAUCUCUACUGUGUUCCGUCUGCAACUCAUUGCGCUAAGACUCUUUCAGGUUGCGGUGACUGAGUUGUCAGAAGAGGCCCUAUUCCGUGUCAUCACGAUGAGGUUCACCUGCAGGUAGGAGAACACUACUUCUUUUCUUCCAGCUUGUCUUUCCUUCAGGUUUCUCAGAGUAUCCCUUGCAUGGCUAGGGGGAAAUCUCUAUUGUGUUCUGUCUGCAACUCAUUGUGCUAAGAUUCUUUCAGGUUGGGGUGACUGAGUCAUCAGAAGAGGCCCUAUUCCGUGUCAUCACGAUGAGGCUCACCUGCAGGUAGGAGAAGACUUCUUCUUUUCUUCCAGCUCUUCUUUCCUCCAGACUUCCCAGAGUUCACUGUUCUUGAAGUGAGAGUCACCAGCAUUAGGACUGUGCUGCUUUAGGUAAGUUCACAUUGCACCACUCAGUCGUCUGUUUUCAAAACAAUGUCUUUGGUAUUGGUCUCUCCUUUUCCUCAUUUUCUUUUCUGCUGGUCUCUCCACAGGGCUCCCCAAAGAGCUCUUCUUAACAUCUUAAGGUUUUCUUUUUCCUGAGAGAACAUUCACAGAAUGUUCUCUCAGGUUUUGCUUUUCCCCUUGUUGCAUUGCUCAAAAAAAAAAGCAAAAGACACUGGUGGUUGGCGCUCCUGGUUCCCAGGACGGGGUUCAAAUCCCUGCGGUGUCCAUGCUUACUUCCAAUGCAACUGCUAACACUCUCUACCCCUAUCUCUCUAUGUCUCUCUAUCCAUCUCUAUCUCUCUAUGUCUCUCUAUCCCUCUCUAUCUCUCUAUCCCUCCCUGUCUCUCUCUCCCUCUCUCUCCCACACUGCCCAAAUAAUGAUCCAGACAUGUAUCUAUGCUUCUUGCGCAUGCAGGCUUUUCACAGCAUCCACGCAGCAUUGCUGGAAUCAAAAUGCCAGCCACUAUCCUUCCCUCACCCCCAGCCAUUUAAUACAGAUUUACAUUUUGGGUGGGAAAUCCAAAAAGUUACCGAAAACUGUGUCACCUGCCAAUGAUCAGUUUGCAAUAUUCAGCCCCCACCUGGAAGAACCCCGAGACUGAGAGGUAGCAGAAUCAGGUGCCUGCUUAGCGUCAACAUGCUCAUCAUUAACAAAGGGCAGUCUGCCUUGGCAUUAGGAUGUGGUUUAGGCAUGUGGCUGUGAGAAAGUGUUUGCUUAGGAAGUGGCAACAGAAAGGUGGGGCUGCAAAGGAUUUCAGAGAAGUAAGAAGAUAUGAUCUUCUGUUAGCCGAGGAUUAGCCACAACUAUUCAGGCACUUAGUUCACUCCCUGUGCUGUUAUUUAGCUUAGGGGUUAUCCCCACUGUUUUUCCCCCCAGCGCUAAAACCCGCUUUUCAGCAAUAACGCAAAAAGCAUUUCUAAAUCAAUUACAUGCCACUGUGCUGUGUAACAUGCAUUUGUAAUAUCAAGGUUUUGGGGUUAUCCCAUUUCCCCCUGUCUCUUAACUCCUCCUCUGUGCCACUUCCAUCCUCCAUCAGGCCCCUGCAUGCUAGAUGCAAGGCAGCAAGUUUUUAUAGAUAUACUUUUCAAAUUUAUACAUUUCAUUAACUGAACAGUCAUUUUAAUAUUUCAGAGUUUGACUUCCUUCCCCGUCUUACUGCAGUUCCUUAAAUUAUUUUUUAAAAUAUCUUCUGCAUAUCCAAAUUCACUUAAUUUGCUCAAUUAAUUAUCUGCUUUAAAUCUAGGUAAAGGUAAAGGACCCCUGGACGGUUAAAUCCAGUCAAAAGUGACUAUGGGGUUGCGGCGAACAUCUCACUUUCAGGCUGAGGGAGCCGGCGUUUGACCACAGACAGCUUUCCGGGUCAUGUGGCCAGCAUGACUGAACCACUUCUGGGGCAACGGAACACUGUGAUGGAAACCAGAGUGCACAGAAACAGUGUUUAUCUUCUCGUCACAGCAGUACCUAUUUAUCUACUGGCACUGGCAUGCUUUUGAACUGCUAGGUUGGCAGGAGCUGGGGCAGAGCAGCAGGAGCUCACCUCGUUGUGGGGAUUUGAACUGACAACCUUCUGAUCAGCAAGCCCAAGAAGCUCAGUGGUUUAGACCACAGUGCCACCUGCGUCUUAAAUAUAUAGUCUUAUGAAACUGCAGGUUAUUACAAUAAUCCUGCCAAUGUUUUUAUCUGUUUGCAAUUUAGCUGUAUAUAUUCAAUAAACCAUUUCCAUUCUUUUA